GACGAACGCUGGCGGCGUGCUUAACACAUGCAAGUCGAACGGUAAAGCGCCUUCCGGUGUGUAGGGUGGGGGUGAGUGGCGAACGGGUGAGUAACACGUGAGUAAUCUGCCUCCUUCUUCUGUAUAACCGCAUGAAAGAGUGGCUAAUACGGGAUAUUCUGGGUCUGUGGGAUGAUGGGUCUGUGGGAGGUAGGGGUUGGGUGGGGGAUGGGCUCGCGGCCUAUCGGCUUGUUGGUGUGGUGAUGGCUUACCGAGGCGGUGACGGGUAGAGGGUCUGAGAGGGUGGACGGCUACACGGGGAAUGAGACACGGCGGAGACUAGUACGGGCGGCAGCAGUGGGGAAUAGUGGACGAUGGGAGCAAGGCUGAUGCAGCGACGCCGUGUGGGAGAUGGAGGCCGUCGGGUUGUGAACCUCUUUCGUUAGAGAAGGAGGCCUGCCUUGUUUGUGGGUGGGUUGACGGUAGCUGGAUAAGAAGCGCCGGCUAACUACGUG
rnacentral:rRNA from 1 species